rnacentral:rRNA from 1 species
AUUGAACGCUGGCGGCAUGCCUUACACAUGCAAGUCGAACGGUAACAGGUUAAGCUGACGAGUGGCGAACGGGUGAGUAAUACAUCGGAACGUGCCCAGUAGUGGGGGAUAGCCCGGCGAAAGCCGGAUUAAGACCGCAUACGACCGAAGGGGGAAAGGGGGGGAUCGCAAGACCUCUCGCUAUUGGAGCGGCCGAUGUCAGAUUAGCUAGUUGGGGGGGUAAAAGCUCACCAAGGCGACGAUCUGUAGCUGGUCUGAGAGGAAGACCAGCCACACUGGGACUGAGACACGGCCCCGACUCCUACGGGAGGCAGCAGUGGGGAAUUUUGGACAAUGGGCGCAAGCCUGAUCCAGCCCUGCCGCGUGCGGGAAGAAGGCCUUCGGGUUGUAAACCGCUUUUGUCAGGGAAGAAAUCCUUUGGGUUAAUACCUCGGGGGGAUGACGGUACCUGAAGAAUAAGCACCGGCUAACUACGUG